UUUAUUUCCUUCCCCAGCAGAUCAAUGGUUCUCCCUCCUCUUAGCAGAGAUAUUUCUCCAGCAGAUAUGAGGAAAUUUGUUGAUUUUUGAAACUUUUGUUUGGUGGUUGUUCCCCACAGAGUUUCAUAUCCUUCCUUGAUAAGUUCCCUAGUAGAGUUUCUUCUAUGAUGGAUCUUAUCCAUGUUGAGCCCCCGAUAGAGUUUCCUCUACAUCGGAUCUUUUAUCUGUUCAGCG
rnacentral:lncRNA from 1 species